rnacentral:lncRNA from 1 species
CAUAUAGGCCCUGCCAAGUCCACCAAUAUUGGCCAUCUGGUUUGCAAAUACAGUGGAAUUGAUAAAAGAACCAUUGAGAAGUUUGAGAAGGCAGUACCUGAGCUGGGAAAGAGAUCCCUCAAAUAAGCCUGGGCCUUGAAUAAAUCGUUAAGUUAAACAUGAACGUGAUGGCAUCACCAAUAUCUUUCUAUGGACAUUCAACACCUUCAAAUCCUAUGUGCUCAUCAUUAAUGUCUCAGGACACAAAUGUUUUCUUCUAAAACAUUUACACAUACACUUAAGCCUGAUGGAAUUGGCUAACAUAAAAUAAUUGUUUGUUUUAAAAAAUGAAUUCCACCGAGACACUCUACAACCGGGAAAUAUAUGACAAAAUUGUUAAAGAACCCAGCCCUUACUUUUCAAAAAUGGCUACAACCCAAACAGUAGUAUUUGCUCUAAUUUCUAAUUGAAAUGGGAAAAAUAUGCUGGAGUCAAGCUCUAAAAUAACUUCAUCAAAUGGAUGGGAAUUAAUAUAUAAGGAUGACAUUGCUUGAAAUACACUGCAUGAAGCUUUGGAUUCCAUCCUGAAGGAGG